AUCCAGCUGAAGAGUGUGAAAUGGGACGAAACACGCGUCCUGGAU
rfam:Schistosoma margrebowiei strain Zambia genome assembly, scaffold: SMRZ_contig0003761